rnacentral:rRNA from 1 species
AACGAACGCUGGCGGCAUGCCUAACACAUGCAAGUCGAACGAGACCUUCGGGUCUAGUGGCGCACGGGUGCGUAACGCGUGGGAACCUGCCUUUAGGUUCGGAAUAACUCAGAGAAAUUUGAGCUAAUACCGGAUGAUGUCUUCGGACCAAAGAUUUAUCGCCUUUAGAUGGGCCCGCGUUGGAUUAGCUAGUUGGUGGGGUAAAGGCCUACCAAGGCGACGAUCCAUAGCUGGUCUGAGAGGAUGAUCAGCCACACUGGGACUGAGACACGGCCCAGACUCCUACGGGAGGGAGCAGUGGGGAAUAUUGGACAAGGGGCGAAAGCCUGAUCCAGCAAUGCCGCGGGAGUGAUGAAGGCCUUAGGGUUGUAAAGCUCUUUUACCCGAGAUGAUAAUGACAGUAUCGGGAGAAUAAGCUCCGGCUAACUCCGUG